UAACUUUUGUACUCAGAGGAAUAUCUUGUUGUAUACAUUUUAGAAUCUUAUUUUUUUUAAUCGCAAUGGCUACUAAUGAGGCUAUACAUGUAAAUUAUCCACGAUUUGCAGAAUUGUUUAUCGGGUUUUUCUCCUUCGGUUGUGUUGCACUGGUUAAAUUUAUGUACACAGACCAUGAGGCAGAAGAGGAGAGGGAGAAGCAGCGGUGGCUCUCCAGUAAACAGGCUUUCUACCAGUGUCUGGUUGCUGUUGCAGGAAUUUUGGUCACUGGUCUGAAUGUGCCCUUAAAGUAUGUCAACGACUUCCUGCAGGCUAUUGGACUUCAAGUUGGCCUUCCUGUAUACCCAGUGACACCAGAUGGGGUCUUCUUUGUCGCCCAGUGGGUUCUUCUGCUUCUAAUAUGCUACUAUGUGAUCGUCCUUGUCUUUGUAUUGUUCAGCUUCUUUCUGAGAAAACUGUGGUGGCUGCUGAAAGUGGCAUUGGCUUUGGCUUGUUUCGGAAAGAUCCUAAACGACGAUAGUAUUGACACAAAAACCAUGGUUUUCAGGGUUAUGUGCCUAAUGUGUAUCUGCAUCCUAUACGCCAUCAGGCCAUGGAACGAUCGGACUAUGACAGCUAGAAUUGUUUAUCUGGAAGGGCAGGUGAAGAUUUUAGAAAAUCGUGUGAAAGAGACUGACCUAUGGAGAAAAAGAUGUUUGAUUUUGUUUUUUUGUCUGAUAGGUCUUUUGUGUUUUGUGUUUUUAUGUUGUGUUAUCUUAUUGAAGUUAAAUACAAGAGGGUGGUACACAUGACAAAUCCAGAAAAGUUAAUGUUUUCAAUCACUAACAAACAAUUCAAAUCAAACAGAUUGGCUCUUCCAUUUCACUACACUUGAUAUUAAAACCAAUUAUACAAUGAUAUAAAACCACUGAAAAUUAGAGGAGAAUUAGGCUGGGGGUGGUCUUGCUCAUUUCAAACCCCUUGAGUCGUGUGAGUCAGCAUGUUUCCAGGCUUCAGUAUGUAGCCUUUUGAUGUUUGUAGCCAGAAUUCAUGCAAGCAGACUUUAACUUGUCGUUCAUACUUUUAGUAACCUAUUGUAAUUUUAUAUAAUCAUAAGUAACCUCUUUCUUCAUAUUGACGGGCGACAGCUGUUUUACAGAAUCCAUAUGAGUACGGUUGAAAUAAAAUAUUCAAAACUAGACUACCUUCAAUAGGCUAAAUCAAUCCAUAUCGAGUACCAUUGCAUACAAUGCUCAGGAUGAAAUCAUUAAUAUUCAAAGCAGGUUCACAGCUUAUCAACAAAGCUCCCUGAUGACUUUAAAAUCUCUUUCCAAAUAAAGGGAACCCUAUACAGCAGGCUGCAAUCAGUGCUCCCUUCAAUUUGUUUUUUUCUGUCCUUCAUUUGAUUUUUAUUCUUUUCAUACUAUGAAUGAAGUCAAUAUUUUACAAACUACAGUUUUAGGGGAGAUUUUGUCCAUAUCUUAUAUACUUAAAUGGUUUCCAAUGUGUGUCUUUAUCGAAGGAACUCAAUUCAAAUUUCAGCUAGUAACUGUUUUAUGCGGUGGUGCUGGCCUAUUUAAAACCAGUAAAAAAAAUGGAAAUAUAAUAAGUAACUCAUCAAAAAGACUGCCCUUUCCUGUCCUUCGCUCUCAGACGCCAGAUUUCUUUAAGAAGACCGCUCUGAAACUAUCAAGCCACCACAGGAAAAACACUCAACGCUCAAUUUGUGUCUCAGCUUUUGGCUGAAAGCUUUUCUUCUAAGAGUCCUAAAGAUGUGAGGGGCUUUUUACUAUGGCAGGAAUGAAGGCAGCUGUCGUCACCCAAAUAGGAGAUACAAAAGUGUUGAAACGUUUUUGUACUUCCCCAAGUGCGAUGAAUGAUCUCAUUCUGGAGAGAUUUCUCAGCUAAAGAAGAUGAAGCUGAGAAAAUACUCAUGACCUUUUCAUCAAAUUUGGAUCAGUAUUACAUAUAGUUAUCUGCUGUAUCCCACACUGCUUAUAUAAUAACAAAUUCAAUGGAAAGUGUUGGUAACCCUUUUUUUAUAAAGGCAGUGUAAAUGGGAUUUUUGUACAGCAGCAGCCAGAACUCUCAUACUCUUGAACCAAACACACGAGAUAUAUGAAAAAAAAAAGGUUACGGCAAUCGGACUGUAUCAGAAUGGCUCCUGGAUAUGUAGUUCAGUAGCCGUUUGGUUAUUAGUUAUCACAAGUAUGUUUUCCUCACUGCCCUGAUUUGAUCCUGGAAAUGUUCUUUAUAUGAGCAGACAAAGGAAACAGUAGCCCAACAUUUGGAAACACUAUCCUUGCUUACUCUCAUUACGCUCUCAAGUUGUCACUCAGGUAUAUUUCUCUCCUCUCCAUCUUAUUACGGGUAACAGAAUACACAGUAUCAGGCCGUGGGAUCAAAAUAGAGCUCCUGACAGAGUGAUAAUGUCUGUGGCGAGAAGAAGAAGGACCUAAUCUAGCCAGUCUGACAGCAGUCACCAACUAUCCCUCUGCAUUACCUUAAUUGGAUAGUUAUCGAUUCUCUUGAAGGAGCGGGAUACAUUUAGCAGCAUGAUUCUGCAGGGCAGCAUGUUGCUCCUGUUACUUAACAUUCCCAUACACGUGAUUUUCUCUGUACGUGCGCGUGUGUGUUAGGUAUGUUUCUGUUAUUUCUUUAUUAAGAGUGUGCUU